rnacentral:rRNA from 1 species
UACAGAGGUCUCAAGCGUUGUUCGGAUUCAUUGGGCGUAAAGGGUGCGUAGGCGGCGCGGUAAGUCGGGUGUGAAAUCUCGGGGCUUAACUCCGAAACUGCAUUCGAUACUGCCGUGCUUGAGGACUGGAGAGGAGACUGGAAUUUACGGUGUAGCGGUGAAAUGCGUAGAUAUCGUAAGGAAGACCAGUGGCGAAGGCGGGUCUCUGGACAGUUCCUGACACUGAGGCUCGAAGGCCAGGGGAGCAAACGGG